AAGUGAGAACAUGGUUUUUUUUCGGAAAUGACUUGCGGCGAAGUAAAAAUAAUUUGCUGAUCAUUU